UAUAAAGUAUAAAUUCCUGGGCAGCAGAGAGAAAUGGCGGGACCAUGUUAGUUAAGUUCUUCACAAAGACAGUCUCAUUAGUUUUGUGUGAGAGAGUGACAGCACUGUGGAGCUCUGUGCGUGAUUCAAAAAUCUAUGAGAUAAAGAGGUAAUUUUUAUUUUAUUAAAGUCAGUUCUGGAAGAUAAAAUUGGGAGUUGGACAUCUUCAUAUGGUGAUUGCAUGGUUCAAAAUUUUCUGAUAUCUUUUUCCUUAAUUUUGAACAAGGAGAGAAUAAAAAUAUGAUGAUAUUUUUAAUAAAAUGGUAGCUGUCUGGGAUAGCUUUCCUUUUAAAAAAAGAAAAAUACUGUUUUUUAGGGGCUAUGAAUCAUCCUCUGACUUGUCCUAUAAACACCAGUCUGUGUCAUAACUCUAGCAGGCUUGGCUGGACACCGUAGGGAGGGUUGGGAAGCGUAUUUGUCAUGAGGCUCAUAACUUAUCCUGUAAAAUAUAAGAAAGGCUGGAAAUGAGUAUAAAAAUAAAAGCUAUUAUUGCACCUAUUUGUAAAUUGAUCACUCUACUUCUGUGUGUCGGAAUUAUUUAGUUUUUUAUUUGACUCUAGAUCUUAUCAAUUUGGAAGGUAUGUUAAUUUUGGAAAGAUACGUGUGAAUUAUUUCCUUAAAGUCCUUUAAAAAUACGUGGGUGAUUUUUAUUUUGCACUAUGUCUUAGAGAACUAUGGUUACUGUUAGUCUUUUAAAAAGGGAAGAAGGACUCUGCUACAUGUAAUAAUUAAACGCAAGUAUCCCAAUACUGAUCAAUUUCAAUGGCUUUAUUACCCCAGUCUGCUAUAGUGGAAAGUGAAGGAGAUGUGAAGAGUCAGAGAGGAUAAUACCAGGGAGUUUUCAAACACUGUGCUAAAUUUCUUCUAAGAGCUUUCAUUCAUUCAUUCUUCUCUUCAACAGGUAGUAUUUUGUCCACCGUGUGCCAGGCACUGUCCAUGUCACAUGGGCCAGUAAUGAAAAAAUAGCCCAAAAGCCAACACUGACAAUCUUUUCUUUCUUUUUUUUUUUUUUUUUUUUUUUUUUUUAAUUCAAGUCACUCAGCUGAUAAGUGGCAGACAGAAUUCGAACCCAGAUUACAGGGCCUGUAUAUACACAUACAUACACAUUUUCUUCUUUAUCCCAAACAGUAUUCCUCUUAAUGAAUGGGCAAUAUUUAAUUAUAAAGUAUCAAAUCUCUGAAUUAAAGAUAGGGCUAUAAUUUUUCUAAACAGGGCACAAAAGAGAACUAUAGAGACGUGGAUGCUCGGGAGGCUGAAUGUGGCUUAUAUCUAAGCAUUUAUCUCCAGCUUUUUUACACUAUAAUUUUUAUAAAGGUAGAAAUUGCUUUUGAACUGUAUACACUUGUUUGACUUACUGUGGCUUUUACCUUUCAACACUCCAAAGGAGAAGCUGUUAUUUUUUAUAAUUUCUGGAAGAGAUUUUUUUUAAAAAAACUUCAACUGUUGUAGAAUAAAUUAGAAAAGUAGUCUUCAAAAUGACUCACUUGCCACUGAGAACACGUUUAAAAUGUUCUGUCAUGAUCUUCAAUAUAAUUCAAAAUAAGUAUUUGAACGUUUAUAAUAAUAAAUAGUGUUUCUCAAAAGUGUGUAUUACACAGCGAUAAUUUUAAAAUGUACUUGGCAUCAAUUAUGUUUUGUCAUGAUGAAAUAUAUAAUGCAUAAGGUUUUAUGAGGACAAUGCCGAGAGACAGCCCAGAAUCAUGAAAAGUGGAAGUGAAGAUGAUUUUCUUCUGCCUUAAUAGGUAUAAUUGCAGGAUACAGUAUAAUACAUCUAUUCCUUUCUUCAAAGUUCUAUUUCAUUGUCUGUCUAUAAACUGUCACUCCAUGCCUGCUGCUUGACUGUUAUGUCACCCAAUCUCCUGUUCCACCUGAACAAAUUUAUGGCAAUAUGUGCUGAAGGUGCCUUUCUUUUUUUUUUUUCUGUUUUGCACUAAAGUCUAAAUUUCCUGUGCACUAGUGAAUUAGGAAUAUUUGAAGCUUACUGGUAUAAAUGUAUUUACUAUGACAAAUGUCAUAAGUGCUCUACCUGCAUAAGCAAAAGCUAAUGUCCAGAACUGACAUUUUACAUGGGAAAAAACAGGGGAUAUACUUAUAUGUGUUUCAAAAAUAGAAGUGCCAUGAUGAUUGAAUGAUGAAGGUAGCAGAUCCCAUGUGCAGAUAACUACAAAGAAAACAAAACUGUUAUUUGAAAAGUAAAUAGGAUAAAUAAUGACAAUAAAAUGAAUUAAAGUAACCACUGAAUGAUGGCAGAUUUCACAGGUGAUAUUAGAUGAUAGAUUUCAAUAUAUUCUCUAACAAUCUCCUUAAAAAUUCUAGCUUUUAAAUAAUUCACUUAACACAUUGAGUUUCUGUUACUUUCUUGUUUUGUGUUAAAAAAAUAUGGAAAUCUUUAAUAUCUAUGACUGGAGUGAAAUGCAAAUUUAAUGUUUCUUGUACCAAAUGAGUAUGAUUUGCCAUGAUGCACAAACACACAGUAAGUAAUGGAAAUAUGCAGAGUUCUCCAUCGUGGUUCAGUGGUUAAGGAACCUGACUAGUAUCCAUGAAGAUGUAGAUUCAAUCCCUGGCCUUGCUCAGCUGGUUAAGGAUCUGGUGUUGCUCUGAGCUGUGGUAUAGGUUGCAGAUGCAGCUCAGAUCCUGUGCUGCUGUGGCUGUGGUUUAGGCCUGCAGCUACAGCUCUAAUUCAACCCCUAGCCAGGGAACCUCCAUUUGCCAGAGGUACAGCCCUAAAAAGACAAAAAAGGCCAAAAAAGAAAAUAUGCAAACCUUCAACAUUUGCUUUGUAAUAUUUUGCCAGUAAGAAUACUCUUAAACUACAGGCAAAACAACAUUUGAUAGUAUUUACAGCAUUCACUAUACAGUUGUGUACUUAUUCAAGUGCACUACUUCUGUGGCAGAAAAAUAAACUCUCACUUGAUAAGAGACAUAAAUAAGAAUUAGUUUAAAAUGUGAUAAAUAGGAUAUGAGGCAGAAACCAAUGGCUAGGACCUAAUGACUCUAAAUAACUAGGGGACCCAGCAGACCAAUAUACUCUCAUUUGAAGGUGACAGUUCUGGUCGAUUGAAAUUUGGGAAGUAUACUUUAUCAUCACCUCUGAUUCUUUCCUUCACUAAGUGCCCAUCAAUAAGUUUAGAAAACACUGUUUAUGUUGUGGAAAGAUUUCAGUUAGUGCAGGCCUAGCUGCUCACGUGGCUAUUGAUGAUGGCCUUUAUUUUAGGGCUGAGGGGAUAGUAUUGCUUCACAUUUCAUCAUUAACUUGGAAGAUGGGGAGCCACACUUAGGUUUUAUGUUUGCAGUUGACACUGAGCUUUAUCUCUGUAUGUGGUAAAUGGGCAGAAAUGGGGAAAUGGUAAAUAAUGAUUCAGAAAUAGGGAAAGAGGAGAUUGGAGACAGGAAUCACUUGAAAAAUAAGAUGAUGAAAGAAUUAAGAACUAGUUUUGAUGAAUGUAAUGAUGGCUUUCCUACAUUGUAACUAACUGCCUUAAACAAUCUGGUAUUUAAAUCAAUCAAUAAAACACAGAAGGUGAUUUGAACUUUUUAGCAAAAUAUAGCACAUAUGAGUUAGAGUUUCUGGAAGAACCAGACAAAAUCAUCUGUUCUUUCCUCAAUGAAGUACUGGAGUUUCAUUGCCACACUGCCUAUUCACCACUUCUCAGUAAUAUAUGACUUAAUACAAGACUCUAGGAGAUAGUUCAGGAUUUUUCACUACAGAAGUUUCUGAAUAUCACAUUUUAAAAUUUUAUCAGCGAACACCUCCUGAAACUCAGUACCAAAUAAACAACCCCAACAAAAAAUGGGCAAAAGUUCUAAACAGACCCUUCUCCAAAGAAGACAUACAGAUGGCCAAAAAAAACAUGAAAAGAUGUUCAGCAUCACUCAUUAUUAGAGAAAUGCAAAUCAAAACCACUAUGAAGUACCACCUAAAACCAGCCAGAAUGGCCAUCAGCAAUAUCUACAAACAAUAAAUGAUGGAGAGGGUGUGGAAAAAAAGAUCCUUCCUACACUGUUGGUGGGAAUGCAAAUUGGUGCAACCACUAUGGAAAACAGUAUGGAGAUUCCUCAAAAAAUUGAAAAGAAAAUUACCAUUUGAUCCAGCAAUCCCACUCUUGGGCAUCUAUCCAGAGAAAACUAUGAUUCAAUAAUAUACAUAUACCCCAAUGUUUGUUGCAACACUAUAGACAAUAGCCAAGACACAGAAGCAACCUAAAUGUCCAUCAGCAGAAGAGUGGAUAAAGAUGUGGUACAUCAAACAAUGGAAUAUUACUCAGCCAUAAAAAAGGAAUGAAAUAAUGGCAUUCAAAGCAACAUGGAUGGACCUAGAAAUCAUGCUAAGUGAAGUUACUCAGUGAGACACAAACAUCAUAUGCUAUCACUUAUAUGUGGAAUCUAAAAAGAGGAUAGAAUGAACUUAUUUGCAGAAUAGAAACUGACUUACAGACUUGGAAAAACUUAUGGUUACCAAAGGAAGCAGAUUGUGGGAGAGGGAUGGGCUGGGUGUUUGGGAUGGGAAUGUUAUAAAAUUAAGUUGUGAUGAUGGUGGUACAACUAUAAAUAAUAAAAUUCAUGGAGUUAAAAAAUAAAAAUAAAAAAAUUUGCAAAACAAAAACAGUGCCAAAAUUUGGUGUAUAUUUAAUAAAACUUUGCUUGAUUGAAAUGAAUAAAUAAAUAAAUAAAAUGUUAUUAGUAGGUGGUAUAGAUUGGAUCAUGACCCCCAAAAAGAUAUGUUCCAGUUCUAAACCCUGAUGUCUGUGUAUGUGACCUUAUUUGGAAAUAGGGUCUUUAAGGAUAUAAUCAAGUUAAGGUGAGAUCAUACCAGUGUAGGGUGCACCCUAAAUCCUAUGUAACUGGUGUCCUAAUGAAACUGAGCAGGGCUCUAUGGGGCUCCUGGGCACAAAAGCCUAGAAACUGUGUCCUGUAUUUCUUGUUUUUAGGAAAUGAGCCUCAUUCAGCCUCCAUGGCCUUCCCUGAGUUCCAAGGGGCAGGUUCAGACACUUGCUGAUCAGGGAAGGGGGGGGAUGCAAAGACAAGGGAGGAAUAAUCCAGCCACAAUAGUACAGCCCUGAGCCAGGAUCCUGGUUCCACCUCAAGGGAUACACAUGAUGUAGGCAUCUUAUAUACCUAAGAGAAAAGUCAUAUGACUUAUGCUUCUUUCAGAAAUGAUUACUUGAAUACUGAACACCUUGGAGCCCUGCCUUGUGCUUCUCCCUCAUUUGAUUGCAACCUAAACAUAAUUACCUAUAAGCUAAAAAUUAGGCACCCUGAGCAUAAUUGCUUGUUGGUUAAGUAUUAUUAGCACAUGAUCUUUUUCAGGAGCUUCCAUAGUUCGUUCUAAUCGCUGAUCAAUACACCCUUUUCACAAGUGCUGUUAUUCUAGGCAAUAACCCAGAAAACUACCACCAGGACCAUGCAGAGAUCUCUCGCCACCAGCUCUGAUGACAAAGAUUCCCCUGAAGAAUGAAGAAAGCAUGUCUGCAUCCAAAUCUGAUUCUUAUCCAAAACCCUGUUUUUCUCAUUUUAGACUAUAAUACUCCCUGCAUUUCUUCCCCAAAGGAGGGCACAGUCUUUAAGGCAUUAGCCUCUGUGGCUUCCUUUGCCUGGCAAAGCAAUACAGUUGUUUUUUUCUCCUUCACCCAAAACUCUGUCUGCACAUUUCUAUUCCAUACCAGUGGGCAGAGGUUGAGUUUCAGCAACACUUAUAAGAAGAGGAGAAGGAACAGACACAGAAAUGAGAACACCAUGUGAUGACAGAGACAAAAAUUGGAGUUGCAUCUACAAGCCAAGGAAUGCUCCAGAUUGCCAGCAACCACUGGACACUAGGAAAGGGCAGGGAAGAAUCCUCCCUAAGAGCCUUCAGAAAAAGUACGGUACUUCCUACACCUUGAUUUCAUAGUCCAGCCUCCAGAAGUGUGAGAGAAUAAAUUUCUGUUGUUUGAAGCCAUUGUAUUUGUGGUGUUUUGCCAUGGCAACUUAGGAAUCCAUUACAGUAUGUUAUCAAUAAAAG
rnacentral:lncRNA from 1 species